rnacentral:rRNA from 1 species
UGGGGAAUAUUGGACAAUGGGCGCAAGCCUGAUCCAGCCAUGCCGCGUGAGUGAUGAAGGCCCUAGGGUUGUAAAGCUCUUUCACCGGUGAAGAUAAUGACGGUAACCGGAGAAGAAGCCCCGGCUAACUUCGUGCCAGCAGCCGCGGUAAUACGAAGGGGGCUAGCGUUGUUCGGAUUUACUGGGCGUAAAGCGCACGUAGGCGGACUAUUAAGUCAGGGGUGAAAUCCCGGGGAUCAACCCCGGAACUGCCUUUGAUACUGGUAGUCUUGAGUUCGAGAGAGGUGAGUGGAAUUCCGAGUGUAGAGGUGAAAUUCGUAGAUAUUCGGAGGAACACCAGUGGCGAAGGCGGCUCACUGGCUCGAUACUGACGCUGAGGUGCGAAAGCGUGGGGAGCAAACAGG